GUUGAGAGGAAUGUUGUCUGGCUCGAGGUCAUGGAGUAGGAGGAGAGUACUGAGAUGAGUGAAAGUUUCCAAUGGAAAUUUACCCUCUUAACACAAAAAAUGAAAAGAUUCUCGGACCAGGCUUCAUUCCCCCACCCAAC
rfam:Glycine soja cultivar W05 scaffold1310_16, whole genome shotgun sequence.